rnacentral:lncRNA from 1 species
AUGAAGCUCCAGGCUACACCUGUCUUUUCUCUCCUUCACUUUUACGUUUUAUCUGUUCCCACUUGUGAGAUUAUUCUAGGUGAAUACCCUGUGACAAUGGCUCCCUGGCAGCUCCUUAACCACUGCAAGUCUGCAGUAAUCUGCAGGAUAGUGGUGUUUGGAGGGCGUGGAAACACAGCUGGAAAAAAGGUCUCUAAGUGGUCACCCCCAACAAGAUGUUUUGGGAUGCUCACAAGAAGCAAGAGGAGGGUUUGUUUCAUAUGGUGCCUUGGCUCUUCAGUUCUCCCUCUGGUGGGCUGUGGGACCUGAGGACAGCAGGUGAUAUGAUGGGAAGGACAAAGAUCAAAGACAGCACUGAAACCUGCCCCCUGCCUCGAAGAGACCAGUUAUCCAAGCUGAGUGGGGCAUAUCCACAGCAUCCAUGAGGAGAGGUCACAGCAGCUCACAGCUGGAGCCUGAGUCAUCUCAGAAGCCAUUCAUUCAUCUGUUGCACUAUCUGUAAAUGAGGUAUCUUGUACAACAUGCCAGGGUUUGUGGUAAUCAGUUAUGGGGCACAUGCUGCAUUUAAAACUAAUCUUGACAAUAAUGCAUCUCAUUAAAGCCCUUGGCAUAUUCUGUGUUUUGUAGGGCAUGUUUGCUGUCAUACAGCUAUAAUAUAUUUAUCACAAGCAAGCUUAUUAUUUCUGUAGCUUUUCUUCUAUGCUAUAGCACUGUUCCUGACAGUUAGUGCCUAAAUCCAUUUUGUAUGCAUCAGAAUUUCCAGUGUUUAAUUUCUCUGCAGCCCGAGAGGAGUCAGGAUAUAAAGCACCAGGCUGUGGAGGCUGCUAACACAGAACAGUGUGAGAAGAGCUCCUGUUGUGGGAGUCCUUCAGGGCUUUUACUUGGACAUCAUAACUGGAGGAAGAGAAGCUGAAUGCUUUGGUUGUGCUCUGCAAAAUAGGUAUUCUGAAGUCUAGUCCUGUCUCGGGAGGCAGCUUGAAGACCAGCUUCUUAAUCUUUGAAAGGUGAUUUAUAAAAUUAUUAAGGCCUUUUGCUUAAGUACCCUUCAGAUAUAAGGUAUUAUUAUGAUGCUAUACAGUCAUAGAGAUUUAAUUGAAGGUAUUUAACUGCAGUGGCUGUAAAACAAUUGAAAUUAUACUCGACCUCCUCCUUGGAGCAAUGCUUUUAGACAGAUUAAUAAGGUAAGUAAUGCCUAAAUUCUUUGUGUCUUUCCUGAGGUUUUCUCCAAUACACUUAAUGGAGUUUUCACGAUGGAGCCAGAUUGGCAGCUAUAAGGAAUUCUAGUAAUUAUGCCCCCUAAAUUCCUCAUACUUCUUUCCAACUGAGUAUCUCUAGGAUCAAAGUAAACAUGAUAACAACUGUCUGUAAAUAACAUUCUCUGUAAUGACGUACAGAGAAUCUGACCUGUAAAAGAAAUCAAAGAAUAAGUGGUUUUCCCAGUAAAUCAGGGCCAAGACAGAGUCACAGUAGAUGCUUACUGUCAAACCCCUACAUGUGCAUGUUUACAGGUUACUUAUUCAGCCACAGGUGUAGAAAUUCAUGUGGUCUCACAGCUUAAGAAGUAAUAAUAGGCCAACCAAAAAGGCUUGUUAAUUUAGUCUGGAUGCUAAUCUGAACUUCAACUGAACCUACUUGCUCAAGCAAUCUACUCAGCAAUCUACAGGAGAAGAGACUUUUUCUCAUGUAGAGCCAGCCUAACAAAAAUUAAGCUAACCUCUAACUGAGAUGCUUAUGGGGAAGAUGUGUUCCCUGUGGGCAGUUUGUGUGGGCACGUGUGGAGGAGCAAGCAGCCACCUAAACAAAAAAGUGUCUUUUUAUUUGGGGAGUUCCUUGCCCAGUAUCAUGAAUGAGUGUUGUAAGAUCACUUAAAGAACCACUGGCAAAGGUAUCAGUAAAAACAGGUUUAAUAUAAAAGCAACGGCACAACAAAGUUCAUUGGCAAGGUUAAAUCUAGUACUUUGUAGAUGGUUAAGGCACACUGAGGAAAAGCAAAUAAAAGUCCAGAGGUAAGGAUAAAAGGGAAUAGG